rnacentral:rRNA from 1 species
GAGUUUGAUCAUGGCUCAGAUUGAACGCUGGCGGCAGGCCUAACACAUGCAAGUCGAACGGUAACAGGAAGAAGCUUGCUUCUUUGCUGACGAGUGGCGGACGGGUGAGUAAUGUCUGGGAAACUGCCUGAUGGAGGGGGAUAACUACUGGAAACGGUAGCUAAUACCGCAUAACGUCGCAAGACCAAAGAGGGGGACCUUCGGGCCUCUUGCCAUCGGAUGUGCCCAGAUGGGAUUAGCUAGUAGGUGGGGUAACGGCUCACCUAGGCGACGAUCCCUAGCUGGUCUGAGAGGAUGACCAGCCACACUGGAACUGAGACACGGUCCAGACUCCUACGGGAGGCAGCAGUGGGGAAUAUUGCACAAUGGGCGCAAGCCUGAUGCAGCCAUGCCGCGUGUAUGAAGAAGGCCUUCGGGUUGUAAAGUACUUUCAGCGGGGAGGAAGGGAGUAAAGUUAAUACCUUUGCUCAUUGACGUUACCCGCAGAAGAAGCACCGGCUAACUCCGUGCCAGCAGCCGCGGUAAUACGGAGGGUGCAAGCGUUAAUCGGAAUUACUGGGCGUAAAGCGCACGCAGGCGGUUUGUUAAGUCAGAUGUGAAAUCCCCGGGCUCAACCUGGGAACUGCAUCUGAUACUGGCAAGCUUGAGUCUCGUAGAGGGGGGUAGAAUUCCAGGUGUAGCGGUGAAAUGCGUAGAGAUCUGGAGGAAUACCGGUGGCGAAGGCGGCCCCCUGGACGAAGACUGACGCUCAGGUGCGAAAGCGUGGGGAGCAAACAGGAUUAGAUACCCUGGUAGUCCACGCCGUAAACGAUGUCGACUUGGAGGUUGUGCCCUUGAGGCGUGGCUUCCGGAGCUAACGCGUUAAGUCGACCGCCUGGGGAGUACGGCCGCAAGGUUAAAACUCAAAUGAAUUGACGGGGGCCCGCACAAGCGGUGGAGCAUGUGGUUUAAUUCGAUGCAACGCGAAGAACCUUACCUGGUCUUGACAUCCACGGAAGUUUUCAGAGAUGAGAAUGUGCCUUCGGGAACCGUGAGACAGGUGCUGCAUGGCUGUCGUCAGCUCGUGUUGUGAAAUGUUGGGUUAAGUCCCGCAACGAGCGCAACCCUUAUCCUUUGUUGCCAGCGGUCCGGCCGGGAACUCAAAGGAGACUGCCAGUGAUAAACUGGAGGAAGGUGGGGAUGACGUUAAGUCAUCAUGGCCCUUACGACCAGGGCUACACACGUGCUACAAUGGCGCAUACAAAGAGAAGCGACCUCGCGAGAGCAAGCGGACCUCAUAAAGUGCCUCGUAGUCCGGAUUGGAAUCUGCAACUCGACUCCAUGAAGUCGGAAUCGCUAGUAAAUCGUGGAUCAGAAUGCCACGGUGAAUACGUUCCCGGGCCUUGUACACACCGCCCGUCACACCAUGGGAGUGGGUUGCAAAAGAAGUAGGUAGCUUAACCUUCGGGAGGGCGCUUACCACUUUGUGAUUCAUGACUGGGGUGAAGUCGGAACAAGGUA